CAAAUGUAACGGCGAUAAACAAAUAUCGAUGCAACAAAUUAUCAGGCUGAUAUAUCAAACAAAGUUCAAACAACAUUAUGUGUUAAAAUUCGCUUUAUAUAAACUUAUAUAACUGCUUUGAAGAAUGAUUUUCAAGUUUAAAGAGGAGCAUUUUUACAUCAAUAGACAUGUUCAUCGAUUUUAACCUUUAUCUUCUGCUGAAUUAAUGAUGUUUACACUAUAAUUGUGAUAACAUUUCCCCAGGGUCAUAGCCACUCUGCGUUAGACAUUCAAGGAAAGGUAUGCAUGUUAACGGUACGCAUUAUCAGAGUAUUUGAUAACUAAAUCGAUACAACGUUGAACAUUGAACAAGUUUGCUGCACAGCAACGAAGGUGAAAAUUGUUACAAUCAGCUAUUUGUUCUAUAUUUACUCGCCACACAUAGUAAAUAUCAGUUGAAAAAUAGUCACCCCGCGUAAGAAUUGGGUACGGGUAAAAUUAAAAAGUAUAUGUUAGAAAGCAAGUUUGAAAUAAAAUAGUACGUAGUGAUCAUAAUAAGUCAUUUCAAUGUACUGUGUCAUUGUUGUUUGUCGCAAUAUGUAUUUCCAUUGAAAGUAUAAAGGCCAAGUUAUACCACUGUAAGAAACUUGGACUGUAUUUAAAUAUAAGCACGAAUAUUGUCUGCCGUUUAAUUCCAUGAAUCAUGUUGCACGUUUGAGAAAAAAAUCUUGAGUUAAGCAAACACACACUUAUCAUUCCGGAAGGUGUUGAAUGGGAAACAUGUGCUGAUUUCGACGAAUUUGUCCAUUAACGCUGACCUAAAAUGCACGGUUGAUAACGCUAUUCACAAGGCCAAUGCAUUUGUAUAGCUAACAUAUUAUUUGCAAAUAGCAAUACCGUCGGGAAAUCGUUGAAGACGAAAUAGGACUUACGGAAGUGCGUUGAUACAUACAUCGGCAAUGGUCUGUGAUAGAUGUAUAAGGUCGAUCGUUUUGGCAGUUUUACUCAGUCCAGUAAUAAUGCAAGACCUGGACUACACGGCCCGUAAAUUCCAAGAAGUCUCGUUUGGUUUACUACUUUUGCCGGUUAUUUGUGGAAUACUGGAGGCGUAUUGCAACAGCAAUUCAGAGGAUGUAGGAUGUCUAGGCACCUGUAGUGGAGCACUGUUUUUGUUAUACCCUGUAGCAGGUCUGUGCAGUCUAACGGGUUGCAUCAUCAUAAAGAUAAAGUUUUCCGAGUCCAGUAUUGGUUCCUCACUCAACUACUGUGUUGCCUCUGGUCUGGAGAUCAUAAUCCUGACGGCCAUCAUCAUCGCCGUCAUAUGCUACAUCCGUCGGCGUCCAAGCCAUCCAAGCAAUGAACAGACGACGACCAUGUCCACCGGGCAACUGACAACGGCGUCAC